CGGUGAGCCCGUGAGGGCCUGGACUCGUAUGUGCACGAGCACAUGGGGAGGUCGUGCAGGGCUGGAUCGUGGGCGGACCCCCGUUCACGUGUCCAGGUCCGAGGGGACCAAACCAGAGAGCUUGAGCUCUGAGACCGCAGUUUGGAGACAGUUGAGCGUCGUGUGCUUCCGGGCAGGAGGCUCACUCUCUGUAAAGGCAGCAGGUGCAUCAGGCUGCAGCCUGGGAAGUGGGGCUUCCAGAUUCUACUGCGAAAAGAGAGCGUGAUUGACAAACACGGAGCCUCCCGCACGCAGGGUUCGUCUUCCUGGUGUUCCAUGGCAGUCUCCAUCGGAAUGUGUUCACCACGUACACUAAGGGUCAUUUUUCAGCCAAAAGGCAUUUCUUCAUCGUUUCUGUCGGAUGGGAAUGCGGACCUUUGGAAGGUUUUUGUGCAUAAUGGUGAUGAGUCUGGGGAAAUGGAGCACCUCCUGGUGUUAGACGCAAAGUCGGCCAAUAUUUUGAGUCCUUGCGUGAAGAACACAAGGGAGUUGCUGGCCUCGGCGGCUCGUCCGGUCAACAUUUUGCUUUGUGGAAAACUAGGGCUCCUACCACUGGACUCAGCUCAACCAGUGCUCAGUGGUCACACUCGGUGUGCUUAGCACUUCUAGAGGCAGCGGAAGAAAUCAACGUGAAGAUGACCUCGAUCUUCCUGAAGCAAGGAUUCAAGCAUUCCUAGGAAACCACUCACUGCGGCCAGCAUGUCCUGCUGCAGCCCAGCUCCAUUCCUGUCCUUCUGUGGGCUCCCGUAGGGCGGGGCUGAAGCAUGGAAACUACGCCCGGCACUGGUCUGCUGGCUGGCUCAUCUUCAGUAGGUUUUCUUCACGUUGAUUUCCUCCGCUGCCUCUAGAAGUGCUAAGCACACCGAAAGCCAUCACUUAGCGCUCGCUGAGCUGAGUCCAGUGGUAGGAGCCCUAGCUUCCCAUGAAGCAAGCUACAAGGUAAAUGGAGGCAUUGCAGUGGGUGUCAAAUCACCAACUGCUGAUGUUUUAUAAGGUCAGGAAGGAAAGCUCAGACCCAAGAGCAUAGUAAGUCUGCUUAUGCUUCCCCCACGGAGAGCAGAGACAGAGGUGAGUCUGAGAGCUGUAGGCUCCCUCGGCCCCGGCAGGGGUGGCUCUGCACUUCUGGAACCCAGGCACCAUCCCAGGGGAAAGAGGGGCUUCCUGGCGCUGGUAACACCAGCUGGUUCCCUCAGCUCUUCCAAAAUGCUGGUGAAUAACCCCCCUUGUUAAACCUCUUGGGGUGAACUAUACAGAGUGGCCUGAAGAUUUCUAAACUAAUGGCCUCUAAACUAAUACAACUGUCUAAUGAGAUUCUCCUGUUGCCAAGGACGACUGGGCAACCUGGGGAGUCCUGUAGGGUUUGAAGACAAAUCAUACCAGACACUCUGGCUCUGGGACUCAGGAAAAG
ensembl:lncRNA